rnacentral:rRNA from 1 species
UACGGAGGGUGCGAGCGUUGUCCGGAAUCACUGGGCGUAAAGGGCGCGUAGGCGGCUUGGGAAGUCCGUGGUGAAAGCUCGAGGCUCAACUUCGAGUCGGCCAUGGAUACUCCUAAGCUCGAGUCGACUAGAGGCAGAUGGAAUUCCGGGUGUAGGCGGUGGAAUGGCGUAGAGAGUCCGGAAGAACACCGGUGGCGAAGGCGGUCGACUGGGGUC